GCGCGCACAGCGCCUAAAUCGCAUCUAACACGCAAACCGGGGAACCGUUGACCCCGACGGAGGUGAGAACGAUGCUCGGCACGGAGUAACGAUGAUCGUGCUCACUUCCACUGUCAUCGGGGUACCUUCGGAUUGCCCGAAAGGUGACCGGAACCCUAAACUACAGUGCUGGAACUUAAAACAGUAGCAUACCGGAGUGCAGGGAGCUAGGGUUGGCCGCCGGCGGCCGGACGGCGGGCGCUCCGGCCGGGGAAGGGUGCGGCACGUCGGAGGGGUCCGGGGCAAGUGCUGGCCGGCGGCGGGUGGCGGCCGGUGGCGCGGCGGAGGAGAUCCAAUCCUCGACUUGCUCUCGGGUUCAUGGGUUCCCGGCGGCGCGGCGGCGGCCGGAGGAGGUCGGGGUGGCGACGAACCGGCGGCGGAGGCCGAGGAGAAGGCGGUGCAACCCCCGGUUGGCGGCGGCGGCGCUUGGAAGCCGAGC
rnacentral:lncRNA from 1 species